GGAAGAGUGGCAGAGUGGCCGAAUGCGACUGUCUUGAAAACAGUUGAUGGGUUAACGCUCGUCCGGGGGUUCGAAUCCCUCCUCUUCCG
rnacentral:tRNA from 1 species